GAAGUGGGCUAUGAUGAAUGUUUUAUUGUUUGGGCUAAACAUGUGUCUGAGCCCAACAUGUGUCUGAGCCCCAUUUUACUUUCGUCAUUGGGCUGUCUGACCCGACCCAAUGCUAGGUGUAUAUAUAGCCAUGUAUCAGAUAUUUUGGCUACGGAUUUCAUUUUACUCUCUUUUCUGAUUAAUAAACUCUCUGUCUUCCAGAGACUUCUCUCAACUGCUCCUCCUUCUCUCUAGAUUCUCUCACUAUAUUUUUCAUGAUUCUUCGGUUUAAUCUCAAUGUUUUCAGGUCUUGGAAAGGUAAUAUGUACUAGAUUCUUUCACUAUAUUUUCCAUGAUUCUUUGGUUUAAUCUCAAAGGUUUCAUGGUAUCAGAUCCUAGACGACGAUCCGACUAUGUUUUUCUGCAUCUUGUUGUCUUGGUUGAAGUAUCCUUUGAGAUUUUUGGGGGUGUUUCUGACGUAUGUGGUCAAUGACAAUUCAGAUCUAAAUCGGUUGUUUUUCCGAGACUUUCAUCGUGAUAUCUGAGUAUAUCUUCUUCACUCGAACGUUCUGGGAGAUUUUUCGAUGAUUUUUGGGUGAUUUUUUGGUGACUUAUCAGCUUCUAGGGUUUCUGGUGGUUGAACCUAGGGUUUAACUGCUAUCCGGUGGCUCGACGAUGAUUUUUGGGCGAUUUUUCGGUGACUUAUCAGCUUCUAGGGUUUCUAGUGGUUGAACCUAUGGUUUAACUGCUAUCCGGUGCUUCGAUCCUCACUCAGCGGAUGUUUUGGGUGACUUUCCAACAUCCCUGACCAUAUUUCCAGUAAAGAUUUCGACGUUUACACCUAGGGUUUUGUACCUAGGGUUUUCUCUGUUGAUUGAAGGCCGAUCUUCUCCGGUCGCGAAGAAGGAGGGUAACUCUGUGCUUAUCUUGAGCAUUGUAUGCUUUGUGUGUGAUUAUCUGGCUCCGUAUGUGAGUAUAUGGUUUUGUGUGUGAAUAUCUGGCUUGGUUAUACUCUGCUUGUUGAAACUAUUUUUUUAAGGCAGUUUAUUGAUUAUGGCUUCUAACACGAAUGCUGGUACCUCCUCCUCGGUAGACUCUACUAGCCCCCUUUUUGUAUAUUCCUCUGAUGUCCCUGGGGUCUCUCUUGUUCCCACUCCCUUCUCGGGUUGUGGUUAUGGGGGUUGGAGGCGUAAGAUGAUUGUUGCUUUAUCUGCUAAAAACAAAAUCGAUUUUGUUGACGGUUCAUGUCCUCGACCUACCACUGAUGUGGCUCAACAGAGACUGUGGGAUAGAUGUAAUAACAUGGUCAUUUCCUGGUUGACCUCCUCCCUAUCUCCUCAGAUUGCUGAUAGUGUGCAGUAUUCCGAUACUGCACAGAGUAUAUGGUCCCAAAUUGAGAAAAGAUAUGGUACCCCUAAUAAGACCAAAAUCUUUGAAUUAAAGAGGGAACAUUCCCACACAUCUCAAGGCUGCUUUGACGUAGCCUCAUACUUUAACAAGCUCAAAGGCUUGUGGGAUGAAUUGGGC
rnacentral:lncRNA from 1 species